GCUGGGUGUGGUGGUGCACACCUGUAACCCCAGCAGCUUUGGAGGCUGAGGCAGGAGGAUUGCAAGUUCAAAGCCAGCCUCAGCAACAGCAAGACUCUAAGAAACUCAUUAAGACUCUGUCUCUA
rnacentral:sRNA from 1 species